rnacentral:lncRNA from 1 species
AAAAAUAGGCCUACAAGCCCAUGUGGCGUUGACAAUAUGCUUUUCAACUUCACGUCGUCCAUUGUUUUUAAGGACAGAAAAUACACAUCAGGUCAUUUUUUGAUAACACCACAACAACAAGUAUUCCAGAACCUAAAACGACAUUUAGAACGCGAGAAUUAUCAAUGAAAUGCUAAUUUCCAAAUCACUAAUUCGACCGUAAGCACUAACUAUUCAACCUUAACACCGAGAUUCGGCCUUAAAUAGGGCAUAGACCACUUACCCUUGAAAGAAACAGUAAUUUUGAACAGUAUCUAGAUCACCGAAGGAUUAGACGUCUCGCGAUCCUCACCUAGAAAAACCAAUGUGAUUAAAAAUGGGGAACAUAGCACAAAAAAAUUGUCAACUAUGCAAAAGGAAAAUUAAAAACCUUAUUACCGGAAGAAGGGGGUACAACAAUACUUACACCAAGAUUAAAUUACGAUCAACUCACUUGAAAACACCCCACAGACAAUAACACAAAAUUGACAGCACCACAAAUGCAAAAACAUGGAAGGAAAAGAAAG